rnacentral:lncRNA from 1 species
CUCACGUGGGAGAGAUGGUGCCUCUCUCAACUAAGCUCUGCAAAUUAAACCAGGCAGUGCAGGCUGUUGAGGCAUAUCUCCCAUACCCAAGAUCCACCCAGCCAGCCUAUCUGUCUACCCCUCCCGCAUGACUGGUGGGCAGGGCUGCCUCCAGCCAGAAUGCUCCUCGCUCCCCUUGAUCAGGGCAGAUUCAAGCACACAGACCAGAAACUGCAGCAUGUCACAGAGUCCCAGCCAGCCAGAAGUCCCUGCAAAAGGACAAGGCACUCCAGAUGCUCUCCCAGAGGAGCCCCCCUGUGCUGAACUGAAAGCCAACUUUGAAAAAUGCGUUAAAGAGAAGGGAGAAGAGGCAUGCAAGGAACUGCUGGAGACAUAUCAUUCCUGCUUGCGGGCACUGGGCAUAGCUCACCCGAACCUAAAAAACGGUCCCUAGCUUCCAAAUCACUGGGACCCCCAGCCAGCCAUGUUUCCUUUCCUGUAGGGACUCCAGAAUGCUCAACAAACAGAAAGCUCAGCACUGAUGCACCAUUCUCAGCAGGCACUACAGAAAGAGUUCCCACCUUCAAUAAAGCCCCUCCAUUUUAUUCUGACUGGACA